AUUGAACGCUGGCGGCAGGCCUAACACAUGCAAGUCGAACGGUAGCACAGAGAGCUUGCUCUCGGGUGACGAGUGGCGGACGGGUGAGUAAGGUCUGGGAAACUGCCCGAUGGAGGGGGAUAACUACUGGAAACGGUAGCUAAUACCGCAUAACGUCGCAAGACCAAAGUGGGGGACCUUCGGGCCUCCCACCAUCGGAUGUGCCCAGAUGGGAUUAGCUAGUAGGUGGGGUAAUGGCUCACCUAGGCGACGAUCCCUAGCUGGUCUGAGAGGAUGACCAGCCACACUGGAACUGAGACACGGUCCAGACUCCUACGGGAGGCAGCAGUGGGGAAUAUUGCACAAUGGGCGCAAGCCUGAUGCAGCCAUGCCGCGUGUAUGAAGAAGGCCUUCGGGUUGUAAAGUACUUUCAGCGGGGAGGAAGGCGGUGAAGUUAAUAACUUCACCGAUUGACGUUACCCGCAGAAGAAGCACCGGCUAACUCCGUGCCAGCCGCCGCCGUAA
rnacentral:rRNA from 1 species